CUUCGGCCCGAGUUGUAAUUUGCAGAGGAUGUUUAUGGUGCGGUACCUUCCGAGUUCCCUGGAACGGGACGCCACAGAGGGUGAGAGCCCCGUCUGGUUGGAUACUAAACCUGUGUUAAACUCCUUCAACGAGUCGAGUAGUUUGGGAAUGCUGCUCUAAAUGGGAGGUAAAUCUCUUCUAAAGCUAAAUACCGGCCAGAGACCGAUAGCGCACAAGUAGAGUGAUCGAAAGAUGAAAAGCACCUUGAAAAGGGGGUUAAACAGUACGUGAAAUUGUUGAAAGGGAAGCGUUUAUGACCAGACUUGUGCCGUAUGGCUCAUCCGAGGUUUUCCCCGGUGCACUCCAUGCGGCUCAGGCCAACAUCGGUUCUUGUUGGGGGAUAAGAACAGUAGGAACGUAGCUCUCUUCGGGGAGUGUUAUAGCCUAUUGUACGAUACCCUGACGGGGAC
rnacentral:rRNA from 1 species